CAAACGGCUAUCAUUCUCCAUUCACACAAGUUUCUAAUUUUCAAAAGUUCGCAGAAACCUUACUCUCAAUUCUCUCUCUCAUUGUUCUUCGUCUCUACACAAUGAAGUUUUGGAGGCCAAAAUCUAUUUCAUUGCAUCCAAAUUUUGAAACCCGCUCCUCAUCCCAAACUUUCAUUAUCCUGCCUUAUUUACAUUUGCAAGGAGAGAACCAGAGUAAAAAAGUGAGUUAGAGAUAGGACCUGAUCGGGGGCUAGGGUUUCGAGGUUAUUUUCUUAGGCCACGACAAGGUAAUAUUAGGGAUGCGUGUGAAGGCUGACACAUGGGCGACUAUAAGGUUUGGACCACCCGGUAGGUUCAGUUCCCAAAUGGUGCAUUUGCAAGCAAGUUACCACGAAGCUGCUUCAUCGUAAAGUUCCCAAAUUAUGGCACAGUUUUUGAUGAAAUUUGUGUAAAGAUGAUGAUUUCCGGAUGAUUGGAACUAGGUAUGAGCAAAUCGUUCCCGGUACUGGUACUGAAAUUACUGAACCGAGUACUUUUUCGGUACCGGUACCCACUUUUGGGGAUUUUCGGUACUGGUACCGGUACCGGUUCGGUACCGAAUGGUACCGAGCUCAUCCCUAAUUGGAACUUUCAGUUGAUGAAUUCUUAAGGGAAUGUUGAGCAAAUCGUUCCCGGUACCCGUACCAAAAUUACUGAACCGGGUACUUUUUCGGUACCGGUACCCACUUUUGGGGAUUUUCGGUACUGUUACCGGUACCGGUUCGGUACCGAACGGUACCGAGCUCAUCCCUAAUUGGAACUUUCAAUUGAUGAAUUCUUGAGGGAAUGUGAGACUUAUAUUUUAGUUGUUUGUGUUUUAACUUGAAAAAAAUUCAUGCUCUAGACUUUCUUUGUAUGAGCCAAGUGCAAUUCAUAAUCUUGCUGAUUAUGUUGUUAAAAUUUCUUGAGUAUAACUAAUAUGAGUUAUAUGAAUUUGGUUGUGUAUCUGUGAUUCCUGUUCUGUAAUUGCAGGGUGAAACUUGAUGAUUAAUCUAAGCUUUUAAUAUUCUGUUGUUAUUUCAUGCUUGGUGAAUCAAUACAUGAUGGUUGAAGUGUAAGCGUAAGGGCAAUUGUUAGCGAUUAGGGAGUCAAUUUAUGUGACUUUUUUUCUUGUUUUACCAAAGGCUAAUGAUUUAGGAGUCACUUUGUGUGACUUUUUUUUUGCUUUACCAAUGGCUGAUGACAACCAUAAUCAGCUUGCUUCUGGUUUAGCUUUGAUAUUAGAUGGUGAAUAUAGGAUAGAGAGUGGCCAAAACGACCGUCGUAUCUUGUAUUGUAAGAUUUGGUGAGCAUUUAAUUCUAAAAGAAGCAAACUAGCCUUUAAUUCUAAAUCAAUUUAGUUUUGGGAUGAUCAGGAACCAAAGAUGGAUAGACAAUGGUUGUACGAGAAUGUGACAAAGUGUGUGCUUUGAGAUGUCUAUUGGUGGAUACAAUAGGCGAGGACUACCAGUUUACAUUAAAUUUAUUGAAUUUUAAAACGAACAAUAUAUAUUCACUAUCUCUUUUCAUUGCCUACUUAGCUUUUUUUUUUUUUUUUUUUUUUUUUUUUUUUUUUUUACAAAAUAAGCUUAACUUGGUUUGGUUUACUUUUUUAAGCUUAUGCUUAUUAGCUUAUAUAAGCUAAUUUGAAGAUGCUUCUUUAGCUUAUUUGAAGAAUGAUAGAAAAUAAGCUAUAAGCUAAUCCAAACACUUAAAAAGAGCUUAUCAAAUAAUAGAAAAUAAGCUAUAAGCUAGUUUAAGAUAUAAGCAUAACCCAAAAAAUAAAUGCUAGGCCAAACACCCCCUAAUUCAAGUAUAGCCUUGAUUGAACUGUUUUGCAUGAAAUUAACCACUCUUGGCAGAAUGUUAUACUAAAGGUUAUGCGUUUGUGACAUACAAUGUAUGUAUAGAUUGGCAGAAGAAUGUACUGAGAUGAGGUUCUCGGCUCCAAGAAUUCUUGCUUUCAAAGCAAUAUUUUAAUUAGAUUUUCUAUAAUUCAAAUAAAUAUAAAAUCUAUUGACACAUGAUUGGUAUGUAAUAGGAGGGAAACUCUCAGGCAUGGCAUUUUAAACAUGAUAUACAACUUAAAGUAGCAUAACGUUGAAAAUAUUAACAAUGGUUACUUCAUUUAGAAGGGAUUAUGGCUCUGUUGAAAUGAAAAUAUGGUAUGGUAAGGAAAUUUGUUAUCUAGGGUUUGUUUUAGUCUGCAGAUAUGGCAAGUAAAAACGUUUUUUCAAAAUGUUGUUUUGUUCUUUAAUUCGGCGUAUGCAUGUUUCUUAUAUGUAUUCAAAGUCGGUUGUUUUGUGAGGAUGUGAGGAUGACGAUCAGCUUCAAGCCUACUACUCCAGUUGAAGAAGUGAGGCUAUAUGUACAAAAGGCAUCAUAACCGACUCUUAAACAAGAGCUUGAACGGUUGAUGGUAUGAUUUGCAAUGGUCGGCUCCUAAAAUUUUGAGGCAAGAUAUGAGGUGCCCAGGAUUUGAACAAGGAUAUGUGCACGUUCAGGGUAUCCAGCAGACCCUAACGACCCAGGAUAUCAGCCUUUGGGAGCCUUUGGGAGCCUUUGGGAGCCUUUGGCCUUUGGGCUGAAACAUAUUGUGGUGGCUUACUUACCAAAGUCAAAAGCAAACAAAAAGAAGAGCCUAUUGGGGAACUCCAAAGACACCAGUGAGGAUGAUUCAGUCUCUGAGAUCAAGCAUUUUAUUGAAAGCUCAGUUGCAUCUAGCUAAGCUGGAUCAGUUAAGGCAAGCAGCCAGAACAGGGGUUGAAGUGUGUUUUAAGAAGGAAUGUGUGGAGCUAGGGACAAAAGUGGAAUUGCACAUACGUCAAGCAGAGACAAACAGAAUGAGAAUCUUGAAGUGGAAUUGCACCAACGGAAAUCGCCCUGCUCGAUUGGGCCAUCAACCUGAUGGCUGGCUGAUGUCGUCCAAUACGAGCAUCUCAACAUUGAUGAGUGAAAGCGAUUUAGUAGAUUCUAUAACUCAUUAGUAACAUAUAAACACUUUUAGUUUUGUUUGUUUUAGUAUUUAAAUUUCUAUAACUACCACUUUUAUUUGGUUGUUUGUAAGAUUGAUGUUUAUUAGUUUAACUAAGAAUCUUAAUUUGUUCACGAAUGUUUCCAUAUUGCUUUGGUAUUUGUUUGUAAAUAUUGAAUAUUUUUAUCUA